GCUCCGCUGGGGGUUCACCGCCGGCCAGGCGCCCCGCGCCGGCGACCGGACGUCACGAGGUCCCGCCGUCGUCGCCGUAGUGACGCGCUCCGAGGAGGCCAGCGCCCCGCCGCCAUGGUCGCAGAGACUGACGCGUAGGCGCCGCGCCCUCCGGAACUGCAGGCGGAGCCGGCUGCCCGUGCUCCGUGGCCCCCAGCGCGCGUGCUUCCCUCCUGCCGCCCGAGCGGGCGCGCCUCCCCACGCCCACACCCCGCCCGCCCUCAGAGCCUCCGUGUCCCUCCUUUCCUCGCUCCCAUCCGUUUUCGUCCCAGGCUCGCGCCAACGCCAGCACGUCACCCUCUGAAGCCCGCAGAGCUUGACGUUUCAGUGAGUAUGGAAGCGCCUGGAGAGCGGAACAGAGAGGCAGCACUAGGCGGUGUGAGGAGCGAGGGCCGGCGGGGGACCUGCCGAGUUGGCCGGGUCCUCAGCUUGGUUUGGAGGUACUGCGGGCUUGAGACUUGGAGUCAUGGUGUGACGAAUUACCUGGAAAACUAAAAAGAAAGAUGUAAUGACUCAUCAAGGAUGAACUUUCGGGGACCACUUAGUCCACACCCCUAACCCUUUGAAAAUCCUCAAUCACCUAUAAAACCCCAGACCCUAAAAACCUUAGGGGUGCCUCUUCUCUGAGGUAGCCUACACUCCCCCUUUUUUGAGUGUGCACCUUUUUGCUCUAAAUAAAUCUCUCACUUAAAACGUUUUGUCCCUGUGCUUUUCCAGUGGUAGGUCUUUAUUACUUUGCUUUUUCAUUCUAAUCACCUUAUACUCUGACUUCCCUGCAUCUCUGAACCGACCUCCUCCCAACAACUUAAAAAUAUUUUCACCCUACCUGUGGCUUCUAUUCUCUUAUCAAUGUCUUUCAAAGGAAAAGUUAUUCAGAUUGACACAGUAAUGUUUUAUCAAUUUGUUCUUUUAUGGAUUGUGCUAAAAUACAUGAAAAAUACACAGGAUGGGAUACAUUAAGUAGUAGAUUGACAUUGCAGAGGAGCAGGUUAGUGAAAAUAAAGACAAGUGGAAACUUGUAUGAAACAGAAAAAUGAAAGAAAAAAGGGAUUUAAAAUAUGAACAGACAGUGACUGAAGGGGUAUGUGGGGGGGACUUGGUGAAGGGGGGAGCCUAGUAAACAUAAUGUCCUUCAUGUAAUUGUAAAUUAAUGAUACCAAAAUAAAAAAAAUACAUGAACAGGGCAUCAGUGAGCUGAGGGCAACUUCACAGAGCUGAUGCGUCGCUGGAGACCCCAGAAAGUUAGUUUGCACUCCAGCUGGUUAGUAGAGGCAGUGAUCCUGCUUGAACUCUGGGCAGUCUGUUCUCUCGCCCUUUGUGUGGGCUUCUUGGCCUCAAGAUCCCCCCACACAGCCAGUACUAAGCCACAGGUCACAGUGUUCUUGUUAUCAGUGUUCCGUGCGGUGAAAUCUGGCCAGCUUAGCCUCCCUGGCCUCCUGGACCCAUCCACUCAACUCAGGGAGGCGGUGGCUCUGCCUAAGUCCCCCACCUUGUUCUGCACCCUGAAAACUCCAGACAGUAAGAUGGAGCUCUUAGGCAGAAGAACAGAAGAAGUGAAUGGGGUGGAGAGAGAAUUGAGGCCAGGAAAGCCCACUAAAAGGGACUCAGAGAGUUGACCAGAUAAAACGAGAGCCAGAAAGGGCUCACAGAGUUCAUGAGUUAAUCACUUGAAGCUCCAAAGGCCAGGAGUGACUUGGAAUGUCUAAAUAUUCUCCAGAUAAAGAAAGGUACCUGAGCACAGCUGCGAGUAAAAUUUUAAAUUUCCAGAAAAAUCUUGCCUGGCUUUAGUACAUUUGCAUAUCAAUAGGCGUUCAGAGGUGGAAAAAAGUAUGGCUUUAGUGCAUUUGCAUCAUUCCUCAGGGGUGGAGAGAAGUUCAUCUCCAUAUCAAUGGGUAAUUACCUGGGCAACAAAGGGCUUAUCUGUACGUGGGAGGUGAGGGGAAGGGCCGGUUUUGCUUCUGCUGGAGCAGGAAAGAGGGAAGGAACCAGACUGCAGUUUGUAAGCAAUAAAUGGAUUUUAAACUUUAUUUCUCCCUUUGACUGAUUUCGGUUUUUGGAGUUACUUUGACCCAGAAUUUCCUUUGCCUGGAGUUACAUCAGGUGCAGUUGGCAGGAUUCCUCUGAACCCAAAAUAUGUCAUAAUGGGUGCGACCUUUGGGAAGGCCACCCCUAGAAAUGAUGGGGAGAAGUGGUGCUCACGCCAAGAGACGUGUGUCUACACUUGUGUGGUCGUGGAGGCACCACCGCUGCUGCUGGCCGUGCCGACCCCGGCCCGUGACUCAAGCCUAAGGCUACUGCUUCUGCCACUGCUGCUGCUUCUGCUCCCAGCCAGAGCCUGGUCACAACUAUGGGAAGGAGCAGAGGUCCGGGUCAUCUUGAUAGAGAAGCAACUGGCUGCUGUGUGAAAGGCAAGCUCCCAGAUCCUAUUUCAGCCAAUUGGAGCUUAGUCUCCCUCCAGUCAGCAAGAAGUACACCCACCACCCCUAGACCCUGCCAACUGACCAAAGCCACGACUCAUCACCCACCCCAACUACCCCCAGGCCCAGCCAAUCAGCCAGAGCCACGGCCAUCACCACCCCCCAAACCACCCUGGAAAUCCAUAAAACCUUUGUUCUGGGGAAAACGCGCUCUCUUUCUCUGGCAUCUUGCCACUGCGUUGGUGCAGAUGAGAGAUUGAGCUCGAGCUAGCUCGAAUAAAGGCUCUUUGCUUUUGCAUCGGGGUGUUGGCUCCUUGGUGGUCUUCUGGGAUCCGCGACUUUGGGCACAACACUGUGUACCAUGCCUUGCUGGCUACGGAGCCCAUCACUGGAACAGCUCCGUCCAAGCUAAUAAGCACGUAUCCCAUCUCGGGGUGGAUGCGAGACCGGACCCAAGAGCUACAGAGUAGUGAGACAGGGACCAUGGGCUUAGACAGAGUAGGGUGAGGGCCUGCAGAGAAAGCAAGGCAAGAUAUUUACAGUCAAAGCAAUGUAACAAUGUAAAGUCCCUAUGGAAACUCUGUGUUCAGCAUUAUGCAAAGUCAAGGUCACACUAAUUCUCUAGGGUAAAGAUACUAGACUAGGAAUAUAGACAUCUUCAGUGAGUUAAAUUAAAGGUCAAAAGGCCAGGAGCAACUUGGCCCGGAAUGUUUGAGUGUUCUGCAAGGGUAUCUCAGUAUAACCUGUGACUUCACUGUAAACAGCCCUAGCAAACAGGCAACAACCCAGCCCCUUGGGCGGUCUUAAUUGACAUGCUCCCAGAGGGAAACUGCUAUCUUGAGAAAGAACCAGAGCAGAAAAUUUCUUCUAUUACUCAUCAAAAAUGAGCAUUCUGGAACCACUCAACAAGUCUGCACCCCUAACCCUUUACUCUCAUUCCUGAAAAUCCUCAACUGCGCAUAAAACCCCUAGACAAUGAGCCAACCACGGACUCUCCUGUCCCCUCGUGGCGUGAGCCGGGAGCUCUGUCCUCUCACUUUAUCUCUAAAUAAAAGUCUGUACCUUGCUCUGCUGC